rnacentral:rRNA from 1 species
UACGUAGGGGGCAAGCGUUAUCCGGAUUUACUGGGUGUAAAGGGGGCGCAGGCGGCGAUGCAAGCCAGGAGUGAAAGCCCGGGGCCCAACCCCGGGACUGCUCUUGGAACUGCGUGGCUGGAGUGCAGGAGGGGCAGGCGGAAUUCCUGGUGUAGCGGUGAAAUGCGUAGAUAUCAGGAGGAACACCGGUGGCGAAGGCGGCCUGCUGGACUGCAACUGACGUUGAGGCCCGAAAGCGUGGGGAGCAAACAGG